GCCCAAGUGGUGGAAUGGUAGACACAAAGGACUUAAAAUCCUUUGGCAGUAAUGCCGUACGAGUUCGAGUCUCGUCUUGGGCA
rnacentral:tRNA from 1 species